UACGGAGGGAGCUAGCGUUGUUCAGAAUUACUGGGCGUAAAGCGCACGUAGGCGGCUUUGUAAGUUAGAGGUGAAAGCCCGGAGCUCAACUCCGGAACUGCCUUUAAGACUGCAUCGCUUGAAUCCAGGAGAGGUGAGUGGAAUUCCGAGUGUAGAGGUGAAAUUCGUAGAUAUUCGGAAGAACACCAGUGGCGAAGGCGGCUCACUGGACUGGUAUUGACGCUGAGGUGCGAAAGCGUGGGGAGCAAACAGG
rnacentral:rRNA from 1 species